CAAAGCAGCCGGCCUGCAGAGAGACCAGAGAACAACGCUCAGAUCCCACCAGCGGAACCUUGCUAUGCUACCGUGAGCUUCUCCAGAAACCAGGAGGAUCUUCUCUACUCCAACGUCAGUCCAACUCGCCCCCCCAGACGCAAGGAGGAGGUGGAGGAAGUUCUGUACUCACGUGUCAACUUUGUGCGAACGGAGAUGUGAAGGAGCUGUGGAUGAUUCUUCUGCUCUG